rnacentral:tRNA from 1 species
GCGUCCUUGCACAGAAUUGGUAAUGUAGCGAGCUUUUAACUCGUCACCCAUUAAGGGUAUUGUAGGUUCAAGUCCUACAGGGCGCA